GGUGAACGCUGGCGGCGUGCUUAAGACAUGCAAGUCGAACGGCAGUCUUCGGACUGUAGUGGCGCACGGGUGAGUAACGCGUAACUGACCUACCCCAAAGUCGCGGACAACGAUUCGAAAGAAUCGCUAAUACGUGAUGUGCUGUCAGAUUGUGUUCUGCCAGUAAAGAUUGAUUGCUUUGGGAUGGGGUUGCGUUCCAUCAGCUAGUUGGUGGGGUAAAGGCCCACCAAGGCGACGACGGAUAGCCGGCCUGAGAGGGUGGCCGGCCACAGGGGCACUGAGACACGGGUCCCACUCCUACGGGAGGCAGCAGUUAGGAAUCUUCCACAAUGGGCGAAAGCCUGAUGGAGCGACGCCGCGUGAGGGAUGAAGGUCUUCGGAUCGUAAACCUCUGAAUCAGGGACGAAAGACACUUCGGUGGGAUGACGGUACCUGAGUAAUAGCACCGGCUAACUCCGUGCCAGCCGCCGCGGUAAGAC
rnacentral:rRNA from 1 species